UACCAGCACCCCGAGUGUUCGGGACGAUUAUUGGGCCUAAAGCAUCCGUAGCCGGUUCUACAAGUCUUCCGUUAAAUCCACCUGCUCAACAGAUGGGCUGCGGAGGAUACUAUAGAGCUAGGAGGCGGGAGAGGCAAGCGGUACUUAGUGGGUAGGGGUAAAAUCCGUUGAUCCAUUGAAGACCACCAGUGGCGAAGGCGGCUUGCCAGAACGCACUCGACGGUGAGGGAUGAAAGCUGGGGGAGCAAGCCGG
rnacentral:rRNA from 1 species